rnacentral:pre_miRNA from 1 species
UAACAUGACAUGAUUGAUAGGUGAUAGGAUGUAAUCAUGUCAUAUUACAUCCUAUCACCUAUCAAUCAUGUCAUGU